rnacentral:rRNA from 1 species
GACGAACGCUGGCGGCGUGCUUAACACAUGCAAGUUGAACGUGAUUUUCAUAGACAGAUUCUUUCGGGAUGAAGAUUAUGAAUGAAAGUAGCGAACGGGUGAGUAACACGUGAGAAACCUGCCUUUCACAAAGGGAUAGCUUCGGGAAACCGGAAUUAAUACCUUAUGACACAUAUCUGUUGCAUGAUAGAUAUGUUAAAGAUUUUAUCGGUGAAAGAUGGUCUCGCGUCUGAUUAGCUAGUUGGUGGGGUAAAGGCCUACCAAGGCGAUGAUCAGUAGCCGGAUUGAGAGGUUGAACGGCCACACUGGAACUGAGACACGGUCCAG